rnacentral:lncRNA from 1 species
UUGAAUAUUGAAAUUUUCACUUGUGAAAUUUUCUAAAUUUCUAGCCAUUGUAUUUCUCUUUUAUGUUUUAUCAAAGAAUCUUGGCAAAUAAAAAAUUCUAAUAAUAAGAAUGUACGAAAAAUACAAGUGGACUAGAAAAUAGAGAAAAUAGAGAAAAAAACCUUUUUGCGUGAGACUCUUCUACGAGUGUGAAUCUCAACUCUCAAUGAAAGCACCAAUUUGUGGAUA